rnacentral:misc_RNA from 1 species
GAUGAAGAACGCAGCGAAAUGCGAUAAGUAAUGUGAAUUGCAGAAUUCAGUGAAUCAUCGAAUCUUUGAACGCACAUUGCGCCCGUUAGCAUUCUAGCGGGCAUGCCUGUCCGAGCGUCAUUUCAACCCUCAGGGUCCCCGUUCCGGCGGGGAACCUGGUGUUGGGGAUCGGCCCGCCCCGUGCGGCGCCGUCCCCCAAAUUCAGUGGCGGUCUCGCUGCAGCCUCUCCUGCGUAGUAGUUACAACCUCGCAUCGGAGCUCAGCGCGGCCACGCCGUAAAACCCCCGACUUUCUGAACGUUGACCUCGGAUCAGGUAGGAAUACCCGCUGAACUUAAGCAUAUCAAUAAGCGGAGGA